GGCGGACGGGUGAGUAACGCGUAAGGAACUUGCCUCUUGGUCUGGGACAACUGUUGGAAACGACAGCUAAUACCAGAUAUUAUGAGAUUCUCGCAUGAGAAACUUAUGAAAGCUAUAUGCGCCAAGAGAGAGCCUUGCGUUCCAUUAGCUAGUUGGUGGGGUAACGGCCCACCAAGGCGACGAUGGAUAGCCGGCCUGAGAGGGUGAACGGCCACAAGGGGACUGAGACACGGCCCUUACUCCUACGGGAGGCAGCAGUGGGGAAUAUUGGACAAUGGGCCACAAGCCUGAUCCAGCAAUUCUGUGUGCACGAUGAAGGUCUUCGGAUUGUAAAGUGCUUUCAGUUGGGAAGAAGAAAGUGACGGUACCAACAGAAGAAGCGACGGCUAAAUACGUGCCAGCAGCCGCGGUAAUACGUAUGUCGCAAGCGUUAUCCGGAUUUAUUGGGCGUAAAGCGCGUCUAGGCGGAAAAAUAAGUCUGAUGUUAAAAUGUGGGGCUCAACUCCGUAUUGCGUUGGAAACUGUUUUUCUAGAGUACUGGAGAGGUGGGCGGAACUACAAGUGUAGAGGUGAAAUUCGUAGAUAUUUGUAGGAAUGCCGAUGGAGAAGUCAGCUCACUGGACAGAUACUGACGCUAAAGCGCGAAAGCGUGGGGAGCAAACAGGAUUAGAUACCCUGGUAGUCCACGCCGUAAAC
rnacentral:rRNA from 1 species